ensembl:lncRNA
GGGGGGGAAUCAGCCCCAAAUUGGGGGAAACAGGGGGAAUUAGGGGGGAAAUCAGCCCCAAAUUGGGGGAAAUGUGGCAAAAAUGGGGCAAAAAUGGGGAGAAAUGGGGGGAAAUCAGCCCGAAAUUGGGGGAAAUGGGGGGAAAUGGGGGGAAAUCAGCCCCAAAUGGGGGGAAAUGGGGAGAAAUGGGCGGAAAUCAGCCCCAAAUUGGGGGAAAUGGGGGGAAAUCAGCCCCAAAUUGGGGGAAAUGGGGCAAAAAAUGGGGGAAAUGGGCCUCAAAAGUGGGAAAUUCAACCCCAAAUUGACCCAAAUGAGAAGAAAUUAGGAAGAAAUUGGGGGAAAUGGGGCACAAACGGGGAAAAUCCGCCCCAAAUUGAAGGAAAUGAGCCCAAAAUGGGGGAAAUCGGCCCCAAGGUGGGGGAAAUGGGGCAAAAAUGGGGGAAAUGGGGCAAAAAUGGGGGAAAUGGGGGAAGUGGGGCAAAAAUGGGGGAAGUGGGGAAAAAAUGGGGAGAAUUCAGCCCCAAAUGGACCCAAAUUGGGGGAAAUGGGGCAAAAAUGGGGGAAAUCAGCCCCAAAUGGACCCAAAAAGGGGGAAAUUGGGAACAAAUGGGGGGAAAUGGGGCAAAAAUGGGGGAAAUGGGGCAAAAAUGGGGGAAAUGGGGCAAAAAUGGGAAGAAUUCAGCCCCAAAUUGGGGGAAAUUGCGAAGAAAUGGGGGGAAAUGGGGCAAAAAUGGGGGAAAUCAGCCCCAAAUUUGGGGGAAAUGGGGCAAAAAUGGCCCCCAGUUGGCCCAAAUCUAUGGGGCACCCCACACAUCUAUGGGUCACACCCCAGAUCUAUGGGUCACCCCAGACCCCAAUCUAUGGGUCCCCCCACAUCUAUGGGUCACCCUCACCCCCCAGAUCCCAAUCUAUGGGUCACCCCACACCUAUGGGUCACCCCACACAUCUAUGGGUCCCCCCUCAACCCAAUCUAUGGGUCACCCCACAUCUAUCGGUCACCCCCCCCAGACUCCAAUCUAUGGGUCACCCCCCACCCAAUCUAUGGGUCACCCCACAUCUAUGGGUCACCCUCACCCCCCAGACCCCAAUCUAUGGGUCACCCCACAUCUAUGGGUCACCCCCCACCCAAUCUAUGGGUCACACCCCCCCCCCCAAGACCCCGAUCUAUGGGUCACCCCCCCCCCCACAGAUCCCCCCCCCACUUGUGGGGCUCACCAGCUCCGGGUGUCAGCGUGGGGCCGGGCACCCACUGGUGGCAGCCCAGGUGGUAGAAGAAAAUCCCGUCCCCGUAGCACCGCUCCUGCUGGUAGUGCUGGUGGACGCUGCCCCCUGCGCCCCACAAGUGUGGGGUGGGGUGGGAACGUGUGGGGCGGGGGCACAACGGGGGGGGUGGGAGCCCAAACGAUGGGGCUGGGACCCCAAAGUGGGGGCUGGGAACCCAGAGGUGGGGUGGGGGCACAAAGUGGGGGUGGGAUCCAAAUUAUGGGGCUGGGACCCACAUCUGUGGGGCCGGGAGCCCAAUCUAUGGGGCUGGGACCCACAUUUAUGGGGCUGGGACCCCAAAGUGGGGGCUGGGAGCCCAGAGUGGGGGGUGGGAGCACAAAGUGGGGGGUGGGACCCACAUCUAUGGGGCUGGGAGCCCAAAGUGGGGGGUGGGACCCAAACUAUGGGGCUGGGACCCACAUCUAUGGGGCUGGGAACCCAGAGGUGGGGUGGGGGCACAACAUGGGGGGUGGGAGCCAAUCUAUGGGGCUGGGAGGCCAAAAUGGGGGAUGGGAUCCAAACUAUGGGGCUGGGAGCCCAGAGUGGGGGGUGGGACCCACAUCUAUGGGGCUGGGAGCCCAGAGUGGGGGGUGGGACCCACAUCUAUGGGGCUGGGACCCACAUCUAUGGGGCUGGGACCCCAAAGUGGGGGCUGGGAACCCAGAGGUGGGGUGGGGGCACAACGUGGGGGGUGGGAUCCAAAUUAUGGGGCUGGGACCCACAUCUAUGGGGCUGGAAGCCCAAUCUAUGGGGCUGGGACCCACAUCUAUGGGGCUGGGACCCCAAAGUGGGGGCUGGGAGCCCAGAGUGGGGGGUGGGACCCACAUCUAUGGGGCUGGGAGCCCAGAGUGGGGGGUGGGAGCACAAAGUGGGGGCUGGGAGCCAAUCUAUGGGGCUGGGAGCCCAAAGUGGGGGGUGGGACCCAAACUAUGGGGCUGGGAGCCCAGAGUGGGGGGUGGGAGCCCAAAGUGCGGGCUGGGACCCACAUCUAUGGGGCUGGGACCCCAAUCUAUGGGGCUGGGAGCCCAGAGGUGGGGUGGGGGCACAACGUGGGGGGUGGGACCCAAUCUAUGGGGCUGGGAGCCAAUCUAUGGGGCUGGGACCCCAAAGUGGGGGGUGGGACCCACAUCUAUGGGGCUGGGACCCCAAAGUGGGGGGGGGGGAAGGGACCCCAAAGUGGAGGGUGGGACCCACAUCUAUGGGGCUGGGAGCCCAAUCUAUGGGGCUGGGACCCACAUCUAUGGGGCUGGGACCCCAAAGUGGGGGCUGGGAGCCCAGAGUGGGGGAUGGGAUCCACAUCUAUGGGGCUGGGACUCCAAUCUAUGGGGCUGGGAACCCAGAGGUGGGGUGGGAGCACAAAGUGGGGGCUGGGAGCCAAUCUAUGGGGCUGGGAGCCCAAAGUGGGGGGUGGGACCCACAUCUAUGGGGCUGGGAGCCCAAUCUAUGGGGCUGGGACCCACAUCUAUGGGGCUGGGAACCCAGAGGUGGGGUGGGGGCACAACGUGGGGGGUGGGACCCACAUCUAUGGGGCUGGGAGCCCAAAGUGGGGGGUGGGACCCACAUCUAUGGGGCUGGGACCCCAAUCUAUGGGGCUGGGACCCCAAAAUGGAAUGUGUGGGUUGGGAGCCCAAAGUGGGGGCUGGGACCCACAUCUAUGGGGCUGGGACCCACAUCUAUGGGGCUGGGACCCCAAAGUGGGGGCUGGGAACCCAGAGGUGGGGUGGGGGCACAACGUGGGGGAUGGGAGCCAAUCUAUGGGGCUGGGAGCCCAAAGUGGGGGCUGGGACCCACAUCUAUGGGGCAGGAUCCCACAUCUAUGCGGCAGGGACCCCCACCUAUGGGGCAGAGUCCCACCCGACGGCUCUGUGCCCCACAUCUAUGGGGCAGGGACCCCCAUCUAUGGGGCUGGGACCCACAUCUAUGGGGCAGGAUCCCACCCAAUGGCUCUGUGCCUCCAUCUAUGGGGCAGGAUCCCCACAUCUAUGGGGCAGAUUCCCACCCAAUGGCUCUGUGCCCCACAUCUAUGGGGCAGGAUCCCCAGCUAUGGGGCAGGACCCCCACUUAUGGGGCAGGACCCCCACCUAUGGGGCAGGACCCCCACUUGUGGGGCAGGGACCCCCAUCUAUGGGGCAGACCCCCACUUAUGGGGCAGGACCCCCAUCUACGAGCCUGGGACCCCCAUCUAUGGGGCAGGACCCCCACUUAUGGGGCAGGACCCCCACUUGUGGGGCACGACCCCCGCUUAUGGGGCAGGACCCCCACUUGUGGGGCAGGGACCCCCAUCUAUGGGGCAGACCCCCACUUAUGGGGCAGGACCCCCAUCUACGAGCCUGGGACCCCCAUCUAUGGGGCAGGACCCCCACUUGUGGGACAGGGACCCCCAUCUAUGGGGCAGACCCCCACUUAUGGGGCAGGACCCCCAUCUACGAGCCUGGAACCCCCACUUAUGGGGCAGGCCCCCCACUUAUGGGGCAGGACCCCCAUCUAUGGGGCAGGAUCCCACAUCUAUGAACCUGGGACCCCCAUCUAUGGGGCAGACCCCCACUUAUGGGGCAGGACCCCCACGUGUGGGGCGGCCGUACCGAACAGCACCAUGUAGCGGCCGAUGCGUUCGGCGCUGUGGAAGCCGGUAGGGGGCGCCGCUCCGGAAGCGCCGUCCCGGAAGCGCAGGGAGCUCCAAUGGCGCCGGGUCACGUGGUACAGAUCCGUGCUGUUCGUGCGGGAGCUGAACCUGAAGGGCGGCACGGCGCACAGCACGCAGGGUCACGUGGGGACCAUAGAGACACCAUAGAGAGCGUAGGAGGGCCAGAGAGCGGACAUAGAGCGGCCACAGGGAUACGUGGGGACCAUAGAGAGGACGUAGAGUGGUCGUAGAGUGGCCAUAGGGAGGCCAUAGGGAUACACGGAGACCAUAGAGAGCGUAGGAGGGCCAGAGAGGGGACAUAGAGCGGCCAUAGGGAUACGUGGGGACCAUAGAGAGGAUAUGGAGUGGCCAUAGAAGGGCCAUAGAGGGGCCACAGGGAUACGUGGGGACCAUAGAGAGGACAUAGAGAGCCAUAAGGAGGACACAGACAGCAUAGAGAGGCCAUAGAGAGGCCAUAAGAAUACAUGGAGACCAUAGAGAGGACAUAGAGUGCCCAUAGAGUGCCAUAGAGAGACCAUAGGGAUACAUGGAGGCCAUAGAGAGGACAUAGAGAGCAUGGAGAGACCAUAGAGUGGCCAUAGGGAGGCCAUAGGGAUACAUGGAGACCAUAGAGAGCGUAGGAGGGCCAGAGAGCGGACAUAGAGCGGCCACAGGGAUACGUGGGGACCAUAGAGAGGACAUAGAGAGACGAUAGAGGGGCCUUAGGGAUACGUGGAGACCAUAGAGAGGCACAGAGAGGCCAUAGAGACCCCAUAGCGACCCACAGAGACCCCAUCAGUCAGUCCCCCAGCUCCCCAAGUUUCCCCCCAGCCCCACAACUCAGCCCCAAAACCCCCCAGCCCCAUAACUCAGUCCCAAACGCCCCCU